AUUGAACGCUGGCGGCAUGCCUUACACAUGCAAGUCGAACGGCAGCACGGAGCUUGCUCUGGUGGCGAGUGGCGAACGGGUGAGUAAUAUAUCGGAACGUACCCAAGAGUGGGGGAUAACGUAGCGAAAGUUACGCUAAUACCGCAUACGAUCUAAGGAUGAAAGCAGGGGACCGCAAGGCCUUGUGCUCCUGGAGCGGCCGAUAUCUGAUUAGCUAGUUGGUGAGGUAAAGGCUCACCAAGGCAUCGAUCAGUAGCUGGUCUGAGAGGACGACCAGCCACAAUGGAACUGAGACACGGUCCAGACUCCGACGGGGUGCAGCAGUGGGGAAUUUUGGACAAUGGGGGCAACCCUGAUCCAGCAAUGCCGCGUGAGUGAAGAAGGCCUUCGGGUUGUAAAGCUCUUUUGUCAGGGAAGAAACGGUGAAGGCUAAUAUCCUUUGCUAAUGACGGUACCUGAAGAAUAAGCACCGGCUAACUACGUGCCAGCCGCCGCCGUAAAAC
rnacentral:rRNA from 1 species